rnacentral:rRNA from 1 species
GGGUUGUGAGGUUAAGCGACCAAGCGUACACGGUGGAUGCCCUGGCAGUCAGAGGCGAUGAAGGACGUGCUAAUCUGCGAAAAGCGCCGGUAAGGUGAUAUGAACCGUUAUAACCGGCGAUGUCCGAAUGGGGAAACCCAGUGUGACUCGUCACACUAUCAUUAACUGAAUCCAUAGGUUAAUGAGGCGAACCGGGGGAACUGAAACAUCUAAGUACCCCGAGGAAAAGAAAUCAACCGAGAUUCCCCCAGUAGCGGCGAGCGAACGGGGAGGAGCCCAGAGCCUGAAUCAGCAUGUGUGUUAGUGGAAGCGUCUGGAAAGGCGCGCGAUACAGGGUGAGAGCCCCGUACACAAAAGCGCACAUGCUGUGAGCUCGAUGAGUAGGGCGGGACACGUGGUAUCCUGUCUGAAUAUGGGGGGACCAUCCUCCAAGGCUAAAUACUCCUGACUGACCGAUAGUGAACCAGUACCGUGAGGGAAAGGCGAAAAGAACCCCGGCGAGGGGAGUGAAACAGAACCUGAAACCGUGUACGUACAAGCAGUGGGAGCCUCUCUUUAUGGGGGGUGACUGCGUACCUUUUGUAUAAUGGGUCAGCGACUUAU